rnacentral:rRNA from 1 species
AUGUCCAGUGACGUUGCUAGCAGGAGUAAGAUGUUUGGGUUGGCGGAGUCGGCGGCCGGUGUUGAUCUUCUUGUACUGGAAGAACUAUUUGGAGGAGAUUGCGAGAGUAUUGACCUGCAGUUUGUCUUCUUGGACUUCAUGGAGUCCAAGGUUUGCUGGCUUUAUAUUACAUGGGCCAGAAAAUUUGCUAUGGGCCACGGGCCGCCGCCUACCCGGUUCCAGCCGAACGCGCGCCGGCUGCUCUGGCACGGCGGCGGGUUCAGCCUCGGCGUGGACCUAAACGCUUCAUUUUUACAUAAAAAACCCUAUGUUUGUUUGAAAUACGGUCCGUUCUCUAAUUCAUCUUAUCCAAACUCCUCCUUUUCCAGCGACGGCGGAGCAUGGGCAGGUGACGGGCAGCGCCCUUGUCGUCGGACGGCUACAACCGCGGUGGAGGAGAAGGCGGAUGCCGUGGGUGCGUGCUUGGGUAAGGGAGUCCACCCUUGCGUGCUUGUGGGCGUUCAUGGAGGAUGGAAGGGGGGUCAACUUCCUGUGGGUGCGCCAGCUGUGCUCGUGGGCGUUCAUGGAGGAUGGAAGGUCGUGCCUCGGGACCAUAAUCUCCAUCAUCCCGUCGAAAUUACAAUUUUUGACCAAACGUCCAAUGUCACCGCCGAGUUCGCCGGAGGAAAAAGCGCCGAGUUCGCCGGAGGAACAAGAACAUCCGUCGAGCCGUGCAAUGUCUCCUGUGGCGGCUACACGAGAGAAUGGGAUGCGCCGCCGCCGCCGCCAGCAUGGUCCCAACAGCAGCCGCGAGUCUCCACGAUCGGCGUCGCCAUCCGUCUGUGCCCUGAGCUCGACGGUUCUCCGGCCGACAAGCGUUUGUUCGUGUCGCCGCUAGUGUUAUGCGUUGCUCGCCACCGCCCCAGAUCGCUGUCGUGCGUCAUCGCCGCCCCAAGCUCCAUGAGCUACUUGAAGAGGGAGUGCUUGGCCUGCUUCAUGUAUUGUCUCAAAACAACUUCCCAUGCCAUAUUUCUGUGCUUCAUGUAUUGUCUGAAUACUUGA